rnacentral:rRNA from 1 species
CCUACGGGUGGCAGCAGUGGGGAAUAUUGGACAAUGGGGGGAACCCUGAUCCAGCGACGCCGCGUGAGUGAAGAAGUAUUUCGGUAUGUAAAGCUCUAUCAGCAGGGAAGAAAGAAAUGACGGUACAUGACUAAGAAGCCCCGGCUAACUACGUGCCAGCAGCCGCGGUAAUACGUAGGGGGCAAGCGUUAUCCGGAUUUACUGGGUGUAAAGGGAGCGUGGACGGCGAUGCAAGUCUGAAGUGAAAGGCGGGGGCCCAACCCCCGGACUGCUUUGGAAACUGUAUGGCUGGAGUGCAGGAGAGGUAAGUGGAAUUCCUAGUGUAGCGGUGAAAUGCGUAGAUAUUAGGAGGAACUCCGAUUGCGAAGGCAGCAUACCGGCGGCGAUCUGACGCUGAGGCACGAAAGCGUGGGUAUCGAACAGGAUUAGAUACCCUUGUAGUC